rnacentral:tRNA from 1 species
GGACUGUGGCUCAGUGGUAGCACACUUGCCUUGCAUGUAUGAGGCACUGGGUUUGAUUCUCAGCACCA